AGAUAAGAGUGACCUAGCUGGGAUGUUUGUCACACUGAUAACCAAGGUUGAUUUGGCUGAUCUGGUUGGCUCAGCAGAUGUCCCCUUUCUCCCGCACCAUUCCCUGUGUUCCCUCCUGAGGCUGUGUGCUCAGUGGAAGAGAAUUACCUUCCAACAGAGAAUGGCUCUUCAGUCAAGCAUAUAGGAGUAGCUGCACUCCCCUGCUAGAACCUCCAAACAAAUUUGAAGGACAGAGAAACCAAUCAGCCGUCCUGAGUGCUACAGGCUUGGCU
rnacentral:snRNA from 1 species